UAGCCGGAGGCAGUUUGGGUCUAAAGCCAAGAAAGAAGUCAAGAUCAUUGAGCACCAAACACAGACCCUUCAGGCUGAUGCCUCACCUGGCCACAGCCUUGACCUUGACCUUCGCCAGCAGGUCAUUUUACAGCCUUGUGGCCUGGCUUCCUGGAGCGGAGUGUGAACAGAUUCAGAAGUGUCAGAGAACGGCAAAGAAUUUGACACUUGCACCCCUACUGGGAUAGACCGGAGCACAAUCCUCAAAGAAAAAGGUUACAUGAUGGAAAACCAAAUCUCAGGCCUAAAAUGUGACACGGAUGUGUUUGUAACUUUUGAAGGCGACAAUGUUGUUAUGCUGCAGGUAAGAUUCAGGAAAUGUUUAUUCUUCUUUUUAUUUAUUUAAAAAAAAUUUUUUUUAACGUUUAUUUAUUUUUGAGACAGAGAGAGACAGAGCAUGAACGGGGGAGGGUCACAGAGAGAGGGAGACACAGAAUCUGAAACAGGCUCCAGGCUCUGAGCUGUCAGCACAGAGCCCGAUGCGGGGCUCGAACCCAUGGACCGUGAGAUCAUGACCUGAGACGAAGUCGGACGCUUAACCGACCGAGCCACCCAGGCGCCCCUAUUCUUUUUUUUUUUAAAAAAAGUUUAUUUAUUUACUUUGAGAGAGAGAGUGAGCAUGCAUGAGUGUGUUAGUGCUAGUAGGGGAGGGGCAGAUUUGGAGGGAGAGAGAGAAUCCCAAGCAGGCUCUGCACUGUCAGGACAGAGCCCGACAUGGGGCUUGAUCUCAUGAACCUUGAGAUCAUAACCUGUGCUAAAAUCAAGAGUCAGUGCUCCUCCCAGCAGGUGCCCUCCUCAAUGCCCAUCACCCACUUACCCGUCCCUCCAACCCCCAUCAACCCUCAGUUUAUUCUCAGUUUUUAAGAGUUUCUUAUGGUUUGCUUCCCUCCUUCUCUUUGUUUUUUCCUCUUCCCCUCCCCUAUGGUCUUCUGUUAAGUUUCUCAGGAUCCACAUAAGAGUGAAAACAUAUGGUAUCUGUCUUUCUCUGUAUGACUUAUUGCAUUGGGUGUUGUAUGGAAACCAAUUUGACAAUAAAUUUCAUAUUAAAAAAUAAUAAUAAAAUAAAAAAUAAAAACAAAAUAAGCAAAUAGACAUACAAGAAAGGACUUGUUGGCUGGAAGACUCCUCUGAUUAUUACUCAAAAUGCUAAUAAAGUCCCUGUGCACAAACAGCUAAAAAAAAAAAAAAAAGAAAAGAAAAAGAGUCGGAUGCUU